rnacentral:rRNA from 1 species
GGCGGCGUGCUUAACACAUGCAAGUCGAGCGGAAAGGCCCUUCGGGGUACUCGAGCGGCGAACGGGUGAGUAACACGUGAGCAACCUGCCCUAGGCUUUGGGAUAACCCUCGGAAACGGGGGCUAAUACCGAAUAUUACACCUGGACGCAUGGUCUUGGGUGGAAAGUUUUUCGGCCUGGGAUGGGCUCGCGGCCUAUCAGCUUGUUGGUGGGGUGAUGGCCUACCAAGGCGACGACGGGUAGCCGGCCUGAGAGGGCGACCGGCCACACUGGGACUGAGACACGGCCCAGACUCCUACGGGAGGCAGCAGUGGGGAAUAUUGCACAAUGGGCGGAAGCCUGAUGCAGCGACGCCGCGUGAGGGAUGACGGCCUUCGGGUUGUAAACCUCUUUCAGCAGGGACGAAGCGCAAGUGACGGUACCUGCAGAAGAAGCGCCGGCCAACUACGUGCCAGCGGCCGCGGUAAGACGUAGGGCGCGAGCGUUGUCCGGAUUUAUUGGGCGUAAAGAGCUCGUAGGCGGCUUGUCGCGUCGACUGUGAAAACCCGCGGCUCAACUGCGGGCCUGCAGUCGAUACGGGCAGGCUAGAGUUCGGUAGGGGAGACUGGAAUUCCUGGUGUAGCGGUGAAAUGCGCAGAUAUCAGGAGGAACACCGGUGGCGAAGGCGGGUCUCUGGGCCGAUACUGACGCUGAGGAGCGAAAGCGUGGGGAGCGAACAGGAUUAGAUACCCUGGUAGUCCACGCUGUAAACGUUGGGCGCUAGGUGUGGGGGGCCUCUCCGGUUCCCUGUGCCGCAGCUAACGCAUUAAGCGCCCCGCCUGGGGAGUACGGCCGC